CAUGGGCACACAGAUACUAGGGACACUGGGAGACAUGGGAACACAGACACUAGGGACACUGAGACAUCAGGGACACUGGCUGGGAGACAUGGGGACACUGAAACACUUGGGGAUAUUGUGUCCCUAGUGUUUCAGUGUUCCCAUGUCUCCCAGUGUCCCCAUGUAUGUCUGUGUCCCC